UGAUUCUUAAUCUUGGUUCUGCAUUUUACAGAAUUAUAAGAAGGAAUAGUCAUUCAAAUACACAACUCACCAAAUCAGAAGCUCAGAUGAGCAGAAAAUGGAUAAUUGUACCAAAUAGUUCAUUUAGAAGUUGUACGUAAACAUCCGGAGGAACGCCAAUCACAUAUUCUCAAUUCAGUAAAAUGCAGAACCAAGAUUAAGAAUCAGAGGAACACUCCACUGCUGUCCCAACGGGCACACGAAUAUCCUUAUAGAGGCAAACAUAAGGUGCAUCACUUCCCACAUAAGUCCCAGCCCACCUGCCCUCAGCAAUGUAGCUUGCAUCCCAAACUGAAGCAUACAAGAACAUGGGUUUCUCAGGAAAAGUCACACCGUCCUUUCUCUCCUCUUUUCUCACCACCUUCCCAUCAACAAGCCACUGUAUUGAAUUUGGACUCCACUUGAUUACAUACUCGUGAAACCCAUCAGAGCAAUCAAACCCCAGAUCGUGAAUUUGUUCUCUGUUCCCAGUCCCUGUAGUGAAGUAGUUAGUUUGCACAAUGGUCUUGUCCUUGCCUAGGAACUCGAAGUCGAUCUCGUCCUGAGAUUUGUCACCUUCAAGAGACGAAAGAUAAAUGUUGAAAUUGAGGCCACUGGUGUUGCCUUGAGGACAUUGGAUGAGGGAACUGAAGGUGCCAUAGAGGAAGCGUGUGGUGCUGCGCCACCGAGCCCCACCGCGGUGAUCAUAGGUGAGGGUGAUGGAGUUGGACACGGGGCAGUGGGUGCAUGCCUCUGGGGUAUAGUCUAUGGCGAUCUGCUUCAUGGGUUGCGUCUCAUGGUGGAGAGCUGGAUCGGCCAUUUCGAUCUGUCAGUCGCGUCUCCGAU
rnacentral:misc_RNA from 1 species